rnacentral:sRNA from 1 species
UCCGUAGGUGAACCUGCGGAAGGAUCAUUACCGUACAAUUGAGGCCCCCGGGCCGGUGCUGGCCUUUUCCUUUCAAGGUCGUGCACGCCCUCGGUGUUCGCAUCCACCUCACCCUUUGUGCAUCACCGGGUGGGUUCCUCAAAAGAGAGAGGGGCUUGCGUUUUCUCACACAUACACCCUUUUAAAUGUGCCGUAGGAUGUCUUUUUGCUUUUAUUAAUGAAUGCGAUCUAAUACAACUUUCAACAACGGAUCUCUUGGCUCUCGCAUCGAUGAAGAACGCAGCGAAAUGCGAUACGUAAUGUGAAUUGCAGAAUUCAGUGAAUCAUCGAAUCUUUGAACGCACCUUGCGCCCCUUGGCAUUCCGAGGGGCACACCCGUUUGAGUGUCGUGAAAUCCUUAACCUUUUCUGUUUCUUUUGAAUUAGAAAAGGCUUGGACUUUGGAGGUUUUUGCCGGUCUUUUUUGAAGCCGGCUCCUCUUGAAUGUAUUAGCAGGGGGUUCCCUUGGUCGAUCCUUGACGUGAUAAGAUCCUUUUACGUCUGGGGCUCCUUUGGGACCUGCUUCCAAUCCGUUUCCUGACCCCCACAUAUAAACCCUUUGAACCUCAAAUCGGGUAAGACUGCCCGCUGAACUUAAGCAUAUCAAUAAGCGGAGGA